CAGCAUGUUUCCAAGGGCUGUGGCUGGUUGUAGCCACGGGAUCUCCAACUGUAUGCGAGAGCAACCUGGAGAGACUUUGACAGCUCAGGUCAGUGUAAUACCUGCAGCUGCCACUCACCUUUGCUAUAAUG